AGAAAAGAGUAUUUAUCUCCAAUCGUAGAAGGGGCAACUAGUACAGAACAGAAACAUUAAGAACAAUGGGCAAAGGCGCUAAAAACUUUGGGAAGAGGAUGAGCAAAAUAGAUCCGCACAAAGGAUGAUGUGGUUGAGGUACAUCAUCUUCAAUAGAACCAGUGUAUUUCAAGUUUGAACUUUGCUCAAGCUAUUAGAGUCUUCAAAUGAAUUGUGUUACCUCAAUGUUAAUCUUUAGUUUUUAUUUCAUGGAAGACAAGUUUAUUUAAAAAUAA